AAUAUUGGGACAUAUAAAAAAAGACAACUCUGUUCUGCAGAGUAGCUGUUGACAUUAUAGUUGCUCAGGAACUUUGUUGACUCUAGAGAACCUCGGGCAAAUCGCACAUCCCCGUGAUGGCGACUUUGCAUGCGGAUGUCAUCCAUAUCAACUUUCGAUGCCAGUUUCUGCGCCUACCAUGGUGACCACGGGUAACGCGGAAUCAGGAUUCCAUUCCGUACAGGGACCCUGAGAAACGGCUACCACAUGCAAGGAAGGCAGCAGGCGCGCAAAUGACCCACUCCCAACGCGGGAAGGUAGUGA